AAAUGACUCUCGGCAACGGAUAUCUCGGCUCACGCAUCGAUGAAGAACGUAGCAAAAUGCGAUACUUGGUGUGAAUUGCAGAAUCCCGUGAACCAUCGAGUUUUUGAACGCAAGUUGCGCCCGAAGCCAUCAGGUUGAGGGCACGCCUGCCUGGGCGUCACAC
rnacentral:rRNA from 2 species